rnacentral:rRNA from 1 species
UACAGAGGUCCCGAGCGUUGUUCGGAUUCACUGGGCGUAAAGGGUGCGUAGGCGGUCGGGUAAGUCUGAUGUGAAAUCUCACAGCUUAACUGUGAAACUGCAUUGGAUACUAUCCGGCUAGAGGAAUGGAGGGGAGACUGGAAUACUUGGUGUAGCAGUGAAAUGCGUAGAUAUUAAGUGGAACACCAGUGGCGAAGGCGAGUCUCUGGACAUUUCCUGACGCUGAGGCACGAAAGCCAGGGGAGCAAACGGG